UACGAAGGGGCUAGCGUUGUUCGGAAUACUGGGCGUAAAGCGCACGUAGGCGGAUUGUUAAGUCGGGGUGAAAUCCUGAGGCUCAACCUCAGAACUGCCUUCGAUACUGGCGAUCUUGAGUUCGGAAGAGGUUGGUGGAACAGCUAGUGUAGAGGUGAAAUUCGUAGAUAUUAGCUAGAACACCAGUGGCGAAGGCGGCCAACUGGUCCGACACUGACGCUGAGGUGCGAAAGCGUGGGGAGCAAACAGG
rnacentral:rRNA from 1 species